rnacentral:rRNA from 1 species
GACGAACGCUGGCGGCGUGCUUAACACAUGCAAGUCGAGCGGAGCGGCGAACGGGUGAGUAACGCGUGAGUAACUGCCCCCCUCUCUGGGAUGACAGUUGGAAACGGCUGCUAAUACCGGAUAGUGGGGGAUGACUCGCGUCCUAUCAGCUUGUUGGUGGGGUAGUGGCCUACCAAGGCGAAGACGGGUUGCCUGCCUGAGAGGGCGACCGGCCACAGUGGGCUGAGAUACGGCGCAAACUCCUACGGGGGGCAGCAGUGGGGAAUAUUGUACAGAGGUGGAAGCCCUGAUGAAGCGACGCCGCGUGCGAGAUGACGGCCUUCGGGUUGUAAACCGCUUUCAGCCAUGACGCGGUAGUGGCAGAAGAAGCACCGGCUAACUACGUGCCAGCCGCCGCGGUAAUUC